rnacentral:rRNA from 1 species
UGGGGAAUUUUGGACAAUUGGGCGAAAGCCUGAUCCAGCAAUGCCGCGUGUGUGAAGAAGGCCUUCGGGUUGUAAAGCACUUUUGUCCGGAAAGAAAUCCUUGGCUCUAAUACAGUCGGGGGAUGACGGUACCGGAAGAAUAAGCACCGGCUAACUACGUGCCAGCAGCCGCGGUAAUACGUAGGGUGCAAGCGUUAAUCGGAAUUACUGGGCGUAAAGCGUGCGCAGGCGGUUUGCUAAGACCGAUGUGAAAUCCCCGGGCUCAACCUGGGAACUGCAUUGGUGACUGGCAGGCUAGAGUAUGGCAGAGGGGGGUAGAAUUCCACGUGUAGCAGUGAAAUGCGUAGAGAUGUGGAGGAAUACCGAUGGCGAAGGCAGCCCCCUGGGCCAAUACUGACGCUCAUGCACGAAAGCGUGGGGAGCAAACAGGAUUAGAUACCCUGGUAGUCCACGCCCUAAACGAUGUCAACUAGUUGUUGGGGAUUCAUUUCUUAGUAACGUAGCUAACGCGUGAAGUUGACCGCCUGGGGAGUACGGUCGCAAGAUUAAAACUCAAAGGAAUUGACGGGGUCAUAGCUGUUUCCU